ensembl:lncRNA
GUUAAUGUCUUAGGAUGUAUUUGAGCACCCUGUGCCCUCUUCUCUUUUUCAGUCUAGCUGAUAAGAAACUCAAGGAAAAGAUGAGGUGAGAAGGAACCAUAUGGGAAGUAACUUUAAUAGACGCGUUCUUGAACAAUCAGAAUCCUGAUGCAUCAUUGGAUUUACAUGAGAAGGUGUUAGGGUGGCUUCAGAGAUGUGAUGAAUACAGCUCAAUUGGAUAUGGAACAAGCUCCAACAUCAGCAAUCUAGAAGAUCCAGAGCCCAGAGACAAGACAUACAAAUCCCUAAAUUUCUAAGUGCUUACACCAUGUGUCAACAGUGUUUUCUGGCCUGCCCAAUAACAAAGAAAACGUCAGCAGCGUCAUACGUCAACAGUCACAGCAGUCGCACUCACAA